AGUGAACGCUGGCGGUAGGCCUAACACAUGCAAGUCGAACGGCAGCACAGUAAGAGCUUGCUCUUACGGGUGGCGAGUGGCGGACGGGUGAGGAAUACAUCGGAAUCUACUUUUUCGUGGGGGAUAACGUAGGGAAACUUACGCUAAUACCGCAUACGACCUACGGGUGAAAGCAGGGGAUCUUCGGACCUUGCGCGAUUGAAUGAGCCGAUGUCGGAUUAGCUAGUUGGCGGGGUAAAGGUCCACCAAGGCGACGAUCCGUAGCUGGUCUGAGAGGAUGAUCAGCCACACUGGAACUGAGACACGGUCCAGACUCCUACGGGAGGCAGCAGUGGGGAAUAUUGGACAAUGGGCGCAAGCCUGAUCCAGCCAUACCGCGUGGGUGAAGAAGGCCCUCGGGUUGUAAAGCCCUUUUGUUGGGAAAGAAAAGCAGCAGGUUAAUACCCCGCUGUUCUGACGGUACCCAAAGAAUAAGCACCGGCUAACUUCGUG
rnacentral:rRNA from 1 species